rnacentral:lncRNA from 1 species
CCCACAGAUCGGCAAUGCACCAUAGAGGAGGAGGACGACGACACCGUGGCAGUGGCCGGCGAGCGGUGGCCGGCGACGCUUGAGGCGAAGGCACUGCUUCAGGCCUCGCUGCCGCAACAUCCGUUUCAGAUCGAUGCUGAAGAGACGUCUGGCCCAUGGCGAAUGAGUCUAACUUCGAUUGGGUUGAGCACUCAUCUUGGCGUGCUUCUCUAUUCUCCCUUGCAUGGCGGAGAUCCUGUUUGUGAUGUUUAUGACAGUGAGGCGGUGACAACAGCAACGACAACCUCCAUCUUUGGCUCUGUCGCCGGAUCCAGCUCCUACCGAGAUCGCAGUGGCCAGACUUGGUGCUGCCUCGGCUCCAGCCUGCAUCUCCACCGCUUUGUCUUCUUGCUCUCUCUAGCAGGACAGAAACUCCAUUCAACUGUCACGAGGAACUGGCGAUGGCGUGUAUUGCUGUGUUUGUGUGUAAAAUUUUUAUUCUUGUGCUUUUACUAUGAUGUGCAUGUAAAAUCUUUAUUUUUUGUCCCGUGA